rnacentral:rRNA from 1 species
GACGAACGCUGGCGGCGUGCUUAACACAUGCAAGUCGAACGGAAAGGCCCCUUUGGGGGUCCUCGAGUGGCGAACGGGUGCGUAACACGUGAGUAACCUGCCCUUGACUUCGGGAUAACUUCAGGAAACUGGGGCUAAUACCGGAUAGGAAUCCUUGCUGCAUGGUGGGGGUUGGAAAGCUUCGGCGGUUUUGGAUGGACUCGCGGCUUAUCAGCUUGUUGGUGGGGUAGUGGCUUACCAAGGCUUUGACGGGUAGCCGGCCUGAGAGGGCGACCGGCCACAUUGGGACUGAGAUACGGCCCAGACUCCUACGGGAGGCAGAAGUGGGGAAGAUUGAACAAUGGGCGGAAGCCUGAUGCAGCAACGCCGCGUGCGGGAUGACGGCCUUCGGGUUGUAAAACGCUUUCAGCAGGGGCGAAGCUUGUGGUGACGGUACCUGCAGAAGAAGCACCGGCUAACUACGUG